rnacentral:rRNA from 1 species
GAUGAACGCUGGCGGCGUGCCUAAUACAUGCCAGUCGAGCGAACGGACGAGAAGCUUGCUUCUCUGAUGUUAGCGGCGGACGGGUGAGUAACACGUGGAUCACCUACCUAUAAGUCUGGGAUAACUUCGGGAAACCGGAGCUAAUACCGGCUAAUAUUUUGAACCGCAUGGUUCAAAAGUUAAAGACGCUCUUGCUGUCACUUAUAGAUGGAUCCGCGCUGCAUUAGCUAGUUGGUAAGGUAACGGCUUACCAAGGCAACGAUGCAUAGCCGACCUGAGAGGGUGAUCGGCCACAAUGGAACUGAGACACGGUCCAGACUCCUACGGGAGGCAGCAGUAGGGAAUAUUGCGCAAUGGGCGAAAGCCUGACGGAGCAACGCCGCGUGAGUGAUGAAGGUCUUCGGAUCGUAAAACUCUGUUAUUAGGAAAGAAAAGAUGUGUAAGAAAAUGUGCACAUCUUGACGGUACCUAAUGAAAAAGCAACGGCUAACUACGUG